UUCUUAUCGAGAGAAGCUGAGGGACUGACCCUGUGACGCUUCGGCAACCAGCGGCCAUCACCCAUGCGGCGGGCGGGCUGCCCGGUGCCAAUUUCAGAGGAACGCGGAAGCGGAUCCGAAGAUGAGAA
rnacentral:ncRNA from 1 species